CCGAGUUUACAACUCCCAAACCCAAUGUGAACCAUACCAAACUGUUGCCUCGGCGGGGUCACGCCCCGGGUGCGUCGCAGCCCCGGAACCAGGCGCCCGCCGGAGGGACCAACCAAACUCGUCUUUGACCGGCAGUCUGAGUAAAAUAACAAAUAAGUUA
rnacentral:misc_RNA from 1 species